AGUGAACGCUGGCGGUAGGCCUAACACAUGCAAGUCGAACGGCAGCACAGUAAGAGCUUGCUCUUACGGGUGGCGAGUGGCGGACGGGUGAGGAAUACAUCGGAAUCUACUUUUUCGUGGGGGACAACGUAGGGAAACUUACGCUAAUACCGCAUACGACCUACGGGUGAAAGCAGGGGAUCUUCGGACCUUGCGCGAUUGAAUGAGCCGAGGUCGGAUUAGCUAGUUGGCGGGGUAAAGGCCAACCAAGCCGACGAUCCGUAGCUGGUCUGGGAGGAUGAUCAGCCACACUGGAACUGAGACACGGUCCAGACUCCUACGGGAGGCAGCAGUGGGGAAUAUUGGACAAUGGGCGCAAGCCUGAUCCAGCCAUACCGCGUGGGUGAAGAAGGCCUUCGGGUUGUAAAGCCCUUUUGUUGGGAAAGAAAAGCAGCAGGUUAAUACCCCGCUGUUCUGACGGUACCCAAAGAAUAAGCACCGGCUAACUUCGUG
rnacentral:rRNA from 1 species